GGAAGGAAAAGGAUAACGGGUGAAUUCGAAAAGAAGCCUUCUUUGUGAAGCAGUGGAUUCAGGUGAAAGGGACAGACGGAGAGGCAGCUGUGCACGGACCGGCAGCACCGGCCCCACGGCGGGUGAGCAGCCGCGGCCGGGGGAGGCAGCGCCCUGUCUUUCUGCGGGUGCCCAGUCAGGGGCAAUGGCCCCAGGUCUGUAGGCAGAACUUGCUAUGAGCCAGGCCUCAAUCACAAGACAGAAGCAGAGCAGGAGAACGGGCAUGAAAGGCUGGAAUGGGGGGCAGGGCAGGGGCUCCCCACUGGCUCCCGCGUGCAGAGGGCAAGCCCUGGCGCACAGUAGGCGCUCAGUGAAUAGGUGUGGGCGGAACACAUGACUCAGCAUCCUCAGCAGCCACACCUUGGGCACACCGUCACUCACGACCAGGGAGGCGGGAGCAAGGAGCGGGGAGACCUGCAGGAACAGGGAAGAGCCAGGGUGGCGCUCGAUGCCGGUGCAUUUGGACAGGUGUGCGCUCGGCCUCAUCGAAUGCCCGCAGCAUCGCCAGAGCUGCACUGGGCUGAGGCCAAACAGACACUGGCCAGUUUGUCACCGAACACGGUUUCCUGGGCACAGCUGGACGACACUUCCUGCCAUCCGCGAGACUCAAUGGAGAGAAUUCUGCGGACCUGGGGGAGGGUGGAAACACAAUCUGGAGGGUACCUGCGCUCCCGGAGGACCCCAGACAGGCCUGGUCAACCAGGAAUAUCUUCACUGGACUUCGAGCGAGUGACAAACUGAUUUCUGUUUUGUGAAGUCAUCGAGGUUUGGGGUUUGCUUCUUGUGGCAGCUAACAGUACUUAUUCUAGCUAGCAUACCAAUUUCUCAGGAAGCCUGGGAGAAGGUGCAGGAAGGGGCUGGGCUUCAGGGACGGGAAAGAAAUUUAUGAACAGGAAGGUCUGAUACCCUGGAGAGCCCAAAACCUAUGAUCUAGCACAGGUACCCCGCGUCCUCCCGGGGAGGCAGCAAGGACCGGCCAAGGACGCUGAGGCUGCUUCCUAACUCAAGGCUAAAACUACCCUCCUGUCUGCCAGGCAACCCUGAAGAUCGUCCCCCAGGAGAGAAAGUCUCUACAUGUCUGCCAAGAUCCGAAAGGGGCCGGCUGCCCGGGGCCGCGGCACACACUCACCGAUGGUGUCCACCCGUGUGACCGCCUCAUCCUUGCACAGGUGUUGGCAGGUCUGGUUGUCCGCUGAGCUCCCCGAGUGAAGCAGCAAGCACUCGACACAAUCUCUUUAGAAAAGAGGCCAUAAAUGUGGGCGUUAGGUGGUGGUGUCGCUCCACGCAUGUCCCAAGAGUGCAGGUCCCCGCCCUCCUGCAGGCCCCUGAAGGCUUUAGCUUCUUCCACGUUCAGAUGUUCGGCCUCCGGUAACGUUUCCACUCUGUCCUUCUUGUUGCUAUCAUGCAGGAAAGCCCGAGGGUUCUUGGGGGAACAUAUGUGAGUUUAGAGGCAUGUCUGGUCCACAGGUCAGGUUGCAGGUUAGAGACCGUUCAAAUUCUGCCACCAGGAGCCAAAUCCACCUGCGCUCUGGUGCAUCUAAUGCCUCACUGAGGGGUCUGCCCCAAACAAGAAGUUUCUGACAAUAAAAAAGCCUGGCCUCGAGGAGGGGUCCUCACACCCCCAUGGUCCCAAUUCCCAGAAUCCCCACCAGGGGACCAUCACCCAGGCAGGGAUCUCAGCCCCCCUGCACAUUAGACUCUCUGGGUAGCUUUCAAGACAAAACACCACUACCUGGGCCCAACCACACCCACAGAAUCCUCAUCUCUGGGGCCGGAGCCUGGGCUUCCAGGGAUUCUGAGUAAAGGUGAGGGCUGAGAACACCUUCCUGAAGACUCUCACCCUCUUCCCGCUCCCAGCAGAGCCCACCUGGCAAGGGAGCUAGGCUCUAAGGGUGCGUAAACCUUGUGGUGGAGAGGAGAGAGGAUCCCUAACCCCUCGGGGGGAGACUGUGGUAUGGGGGAGCAUAAAUGGGGGGUGAGAACUCAACUCCAAGGAAAAGUGGGUUGGAACAAAACAACCAGCUGAUGGUGAACUUGCAGGGACUUUGUGAGGUGAUGGUGCUCUGUGGCCUGCAAAGAGGGUGUGAGACCCCAACACAGGAGCUUCCCCAGGAAACGGGGCGAGGACCCCAGAGCCAAGUGUGCUGGGAGGGCCACUGCCUCCCUGCAGCUGCCCCCGGCAGCAGAGUGCAGGUGCUGGUUGGGGGGUGUGGCUCACAGAGGCUCAGCUACAUGGGGGAGAGCAGCCCGACCGCCCCCACAGGCGUGUGGGGACUAAAGGGGUUGUGUGUCGGGAAGCUCUCUGGCCAGAAUGUGGAGGGAUGUACAACCACAACGCGUCGCCUUUGUUAUUACCAUUUUUAAAAUUCCUUGGGAUGGAGAGACCAGCUACUACAUGUCCAGGGCGGAACCUGUGGAGUGGACAUCUGGCCCGAAGGGAGCUGGGAGCAUGUCAUCAAGGCGCCCUGUUUUACAGGGGAGGGAAACGAGAAAUCCACGACAGCAGGAGGGGCCAGCACCCAGGUGCCCUGCCUCUCUGUCAAGUCCCUCCCCGAGUCCUCACUCCACUUCGUGAACACUGAGGAGGAAUGGGCGAGCCAGAGUCCCAGUGGGCAGGCAACUGAGACUUGGCUGGGCACCAGGAAGGCGUGGCUCCAGCUCUGGUCCCCACCGGAUGCCACUGCCCCUCCUUCGCCUGGAUCUACACACUGCAAAGAAAGGUGGCUGCUUCCGGUCUCGGCUAGGAUUCACCGAGCCCCCAUCUGCACACCCUGUUGUCACGAAACCACGGGGCCGCUCCCAGGGAACAUUCCCUGAUGAUCCAUGUGGACACAUCCGUUUAACCUGUGUGCUCCGCGGACUGGGCUGAAACUUGCGAUCUAUCGUAGUCACAGUAGUCACGUAUUAAAAUAAGACCGACCUUUAAACAAACAAGUUGCCGAGAGAGACUUUGCUCAGGGAGCCUGUUCAUUGAAAUCAGCUGAGCUGCAUACGAACUCACCCAAGGUGAAGGGCAUGUUUGGUUAGUUCUAGAAAGCAGAGAUUGUCCGGCUCUGAAACCCCAGGAAAAAAAAAUGGACAUAGGCAUUCAAAACCUGGUGGCCCUCAGCAAAGCAGCAAGUAGAAAAACAGCCUGAAAUAAUGCACUAUCAAAGGGACUUUGUUUAAAAAAAAAAAAAAAAAAAAGUUACAACUAGCCUGUGAAAGAGACAUAGUAUCAGUGUGGUCCAGAGACAAGUAAGAAAGGAUGGUGAGGUCCCCUUAGGGCAUCUCUUUGCCCUCCUAGCUCCUUUGGUAUUGCUUAAUGGGUAACAAAUCAUCAAGUCUAUGUCUUCUUGGAAAUGAAUGCUUUAAACACUUAAAGCUAUCUUUUAAGUUGUCUUCCCAAGGGGCCUUUUAAGUCACCUAAGCCAACCCUACAUUGCCUUGCUGCUCCAGAGGAAGGGAAGAAACGGACUUUCUCCGCUUUUAUUGGUUCCGUGUGUGCUGUCCCAGCUUGGCGCCCACCCCCCAUCAACCUCAUAUGCCCCAAGGUCUGGCAGCACACACUCAAAAGGCUUCCGCUGCUGGGAGCUGGGGGAGGGCACGCCCUCAGGCACUCAACGUUGAUACUGGCGGGACUCCAGCUCACAUGGCCGCAGCUAUUUGGGCUCCGGAUCCAGGACCCUAACCUCCUCCCCUGAGAUGUUUCUAUCCGGAUUUCUGCUGUUUCUCUGCUCCUAGCAGGUCAGAAGAGGAUCUGUGUUUCUCCCCCUUACUCUGCCUGGCCUCCCCCGCAUUACACAGGAUGAAAUCUGGCCCUGUCUAUCCUGUCUCUCCAUCUGCAGCCAGCUUUCAAUUACCCACGCCUGGAUUAUUUGUGGCAAACGUCCAGCCAGGGGUUCUGCCACCCAGAACUUUCCGGAGCGCGGACGGACCAGCAGCCGCAGCCGCUCAGGGAGCAUGAACUCCUCUCAUUAGGAGCCCGAGCCAGGCGUUUGGAGGGGAAAUCUGCCAAAAAAAAUCACACAGCUGCAUUUCCCAGCCAGAGAAACAACGUCCGCAUUAUUAUUUGUUUCUGGUUAUCUGUGUCCCUCCCUCCCGGGCCCUUUGUGCUCGGAUGCUGACGGCACAGCUGGGUCUCCAGCAGAAUUCGAGAGAAACUGUCACUCUUGCAUUCCUGAUGGCAAAACUCCCUGAUUUCUUUAAUUCCCUCCCAUGCGCACUCUGGGAGAGCGUGAAGGGCAGAGCUGUGGGGAGGUCAACAGGGGAGCGUGACCCCGUGGCCGGGUCAGAGGAGGCCUGGAGCCCGCGUCUGGACCAUCUCUGCGUUCAGUGGCAGCGCGCAGACCCGCUCCAUUAUCUGUACAAAUGGAGCGGAAAAUUCAAAAGCCAUUGCGGUUUGUUCCUGGCACGCCUUAUCUAGGUCGGUGCCCUCCAAUUUACCUUCCGAUCAUGUUUUGUUUAAAGCAACAUUUCCCAUAGGGGGGGCCUGUGAAACAUUGUUUGGGAGAUGUUAAUGGGGGGGGUGUUGAAUUCAUGUGGAAAACAGAUGCAUGCUGAAUGUCCUUCUGAAAUGCUCAGUGACACGCUAAAGGCUCAACAGGACGCUAUUCUGGUACCAAAAUCAGUUUAAUUUCUUUUAACUCAGUAAUCCUGUAAUUUCUAAACGUGUUUAGGAACAGAAAAACAGUCUUUUUUGCUGUUGUUAUGUUUUGAUUUUUUUUUCUAUUAAA